UUGGAGGGCAAGUCUGGUGCCAGCAGCCGCGGUAAUUCCAGCUCCAAUAGCGUAUAUUAAAGUUGUUGCAGUUAAAAAGCUCGUAGUUGAAUUUCGGGAUCAAAUUGUCGGUCGUGCCUCGGUACGAACUGGUAUUAUUGGUUCCUACCUUCUGAAGAACCGCGAUGUCAUUAAUUUGGUGUCGUGGGGAAUCAGGACUGUUACUUUGAAAAAAUUAGAGUGUUUAAAGCAGGCUUACGCUUGAAUACAUUAGCAUGGAAUAAUGAAAUAGGACGUUUGAUUCUAUUUUGUUGGUUUCUAGGAUUGACGUAAUGAUUAAUAGGGAUAGUUGGGGGCAUUAGUAUUCAAUUGUCAGAGGUGAAAUUCUUGGAUUUAUUGAAGACUAACUACUGCGAAAGCAUUUGCCAAGGAUGUUUUCAUUAAUCAAGAACGAAAGUUAGGGGAUCGAAGACGAUCAGAUACCGUCGUAGUCUUAACCAUAAACUAUGCCGACUAGGGAUCGGAUGAUGUUAAUUUUUUAAUGACUCAUUCGGCGCCUUACGGGAAAC
rnacentral:rRNA from 1 species